rnacentral:rRNA from 1 species
ACGGAGGGUGCAAGCGUUAAUCGGAAUUACUGGGCGUAAAGCGCGCGUAGGCGGUCUGUUAAGCUGGAUGUGAAAGCCCAGGGCUCAACCUUGGAACUGCAUUCAGAACUGGCAGACUAGAGUAUUGGAGAGGUAAGUGGAAUUUCCCGUGUAGCAGUGAAAUGCGUAGAUAUGGGAAGGAACACCAGUGGCGAAGGCGACUUACUGGCCAAAUACUGACGCUGAGGUGCGAAAGCGUGGGGAGCAAACGGG